rnacentral:lncRNA from 1 species
UUUUUUUUUUUUUUUUGUCGAGAUUAUGGUAUCACUAUGUUGCUCUGGCUGAUCUCAAAUGUUUGACCUCAAGGGAUCUUUCUGCCACAGUCUCCUAAAGUGCUAGGAUUAUAUGCAUGAUACACCAUGCCUAUUGUAGAGUAUUACAUUAUUUUCAAAGUCUUAUUGUAAGAGCCAUUUAUUGCCUUUGGCCUAAAUAACUCAAUAUAAUAUCUCUGAAACUUUUUUUUGACAAGUUUUGGGGCAUGAUGAUGAGAGAAGGGGGUUUGAAACUUUCUAAUAAGAGUUAACUUAGAGCCAUUUAAGAAAGGAAAAAACACAAAUUAUCAGAAAAACAACAGUAAGAUCAAGUGCAAAAGUUCUGUGGCAAAGAUGAUGAGAGUAAAGAAUAUAUGUUUGUGACUCAUGGUGGCUUUUACUUUGUUCUUGAAUUUCUGAGUACGGGUUAACAUUUAAAGAAUCUACAUUAUAGAUAACAUUUUAUUGCAAGUAAAUGUAUUUCAAAAUUUGUUAUUGGUUUUGUAUGCGAUUAUUCUCAGCCUACUUCAUUAUCAAGCUAUAUUAUUUUAUUAAUGUAGUUCGAUGAUCUUACAGCAAAGCUGAAAGCUGUAUCUUCAAAAUAUGUCUAUUUGACUAAAAAGUUAUUCAACAGGAGUUAUUAUCUAUAAAAAAAUACAACAGGAAUAUAAAAAACUUGAAGAGGAUAAAAAGAUGUUGGAAAAAGUAAUAUUAAAUCUUAAAAAACAUAUGGAAACUACACAAUGGUGAAGACACAUUGGUGAAGUACAAAAAUAUAAAUUGGAUCUAGAAGAAAGGGCAAUGCAGGCAAUAGAAAAAUUAGUAGAAAUCCCUUUAAAGGUUAGUUUGUAAAAUCAGGUAAGUUUAUUUAUAAUUUGCUUUCAUUUAUUUCACUGCAAAUUAUAUUUUGGAUAUGUAUAUAUAUUGUGCUUCCUCUGCCUGUCUUACAGCAAUUUGCCUUGCAGAGUUCUAGGAAAAAGGUGGCAUGUGUUUUUACUUUCAAAUAUUUAAAUUUCCAUCAUUAUAACAAAAUCAAUUUUUCAGAGUAAUGAUUCUCACUGUGGAGUCAUUUGAUUAUUAAGACCCGUUGGCAUAAGAUUACAUCCUCUGACUAUAAAAAUCCUGGAAGAAAACCUAGGAAAUAUUCGUCUGGACAUUGCACUUGGCAAUGAAUUUAUGGGUAACCACUGAUCCACUUCCAGUCACUAUCCAUGAGUUUUUAUUUCCAAAUACAUGAAAUCAUAUGAGUUGAAACUUUCUUUUGAUUGAGCAGUUUGGAAACCGUCUUUUUGUAGAAUCUGCAAGUGGAUAUUUGGAACCCUUUGAGGCCUAUGCUGAAAAAAGAAAUAUCUUCACUACAUGAUGACCACCAGCAGCAGCUGGGGAAACCAGCACCCUGUGGAAUUCCAUACGGUGCAUAGAAUACAUCCUCCCUUCAGUCGGCUUGGGUCAACUUAGGUCAUGGGCCACCUGGCUGAUAGCAGUUUCCACAGAAAUGCUUCAAGAUGAAAGUGGAUGACCGGGCCACCCUCCACCACUGCCCUGUAAGACCAUGGGACACACAGGCCACCAGUUCUUUUCAUGUGGUCAUCCCCUGUUAGAUGGGAGAAAAUACACCUGCCUCAUUUUUGUACCUUCUGUGUGAACAUUCCACGGCAGAGCUUCACUAAAUGUGUGAUGAAGAAUUGAAUGAAUGAAUGAAUAUGAGAGAAAAUGAAUAAAUGGUUCAGAUCCUGGGCUGGAAGGCUGUGUAUGAGGAUGGUGGGUAGAGGAGGGUCUGUUUUUCUUGCCUUUAAGUCACUAAUUGUCACUUUGGGGCAGGAGCACAGGCUUUGAAUGCAGACCGACUGGACUUUAAUUCUGGCUUUACUAGUUGUGAUUGUGUGACCUUGUGCAAGUUACUUAAACCCUCUGUGCCUGUUUCUUUAUCUGUAAAAUGGAGAUAAUAAGAUGUCAAAGGACUGUGGUAAGAAUUAAAUGCUUU